rnacentral:rRNA from 1 species
AUUGAACGCUGGCGGCAUGCCUUACACAUGCAAGUCGAACGGCAGCACGGGAGCAAUCCUGGUGGCGAGUGGCGAACGGGUGAGUAAAGUAUCGGAACGUGCCCAGUCGUGGGGGAUAACGUAGCGAAAGUUACGCUAAUACCGCAUACGAUCUAUGGAUGAAAGCGGGGGAUCGCAAGACCUCGCGCGAUUGGAGCGGCCGAUAUCAGAUUAGGUAGUUGGUGGGGUAAAGGCUCACCAAGCCGACGAUCUGUAGCUGGUCUGAGAGGACGACCAGCCACACGGGGACGGAGCCACGGCCCAGACUCCUACGGGAGGCAGCAGUGGGGAAUUUUGGACAAUGGGCGAAAGCCUGAUCCAGCCAUGCCGCGUGCAGGAUGAAGGCCUUCGGGUUGUAAACUGCUUUUGUACGGAACGAAAAGGUUUGGCCUAAUAAGCUGAGCUCAUGACGGUACCGUAAGAAUAAGCACCGGCUAACUACGUGCCAGCAGCCGCCGUAA